rnacentral:rRNA from 1 species
AGUGAACGCUGGCGGCAUGCCUAACACAUGCAAGUCGAACGGCAGCACGGUUACUGCCAGCUGUUGGCGGGGGGCAGAGGGGGGCGUGAGAGGUGUGAACCGGACUCUACUUGGGGGUGAGCGCGGAGAAAGGGGGAUUAAUACCGAUACCGAACACGGUCUGAGGGUGGGGGCACUGGUUCUUUCGGCCUUGAGCGAUGGCGCGUGCCUAUGUCGGAUUAGCUAGUUGGAGGGGUAAAGGCCCACCAAGGCGACGAUCAGUAGCUGGUCUGAGAGGACGACCCGCCACACUGGGACUGAGACACGGCCCAGACUCCUACGGGAGGCAGCAGUGGGGAAUUUUGGACAAUGGGCGCAAGCCUGAUCCAGCAAUGCCGCGUGUGUGAAGAAGGCCUUCGGGUUGUAAAGCACUUUUGUUGGGAAAGAAAUCCUUCGCCCUAAUACGCUCCUGUUAUGACGGUACCCAAAGAAUAAGCACCGGCUAACUACGUG